UUACUAUCACAUUCUGACAUUGCAGGUGGUUCUUAAAGACAGCAAGCCUGUGCAGCUGAUUCACCAUAAAUGUUCUUGCAUUGCUGGAGCUGCGCUGUGCAACCACUGUGUUGCUCUUUUGUACCAGUCAGCCCACUACUCGCAGCUGAAGGUGCCUGUAGUCCCCCCUGUGCUAAGCUGUACUGAGGGAGAACAGUAGUGGUACAAACCUAGGACUCUGGGUAUAAAAACCGGCCCAGUGGACAAAAUGGCUGUGCUGUCUGCUAAACCGAAGAGCCGUCCUAAAGCAACAACAGAGGAUAUAAGGAGCACGCUCUACAAAGGCCUCAGUGGGGAUCUACCUGAUCUUUCUGUCCUUCGGGUGACUGAGACAUAUGCCGACUUCUCCAGAGCGGAGUCGCCAAUGGUGUGUAGCAUGAACAUCAGCUGAGGUUCCAUUGGUCAACUCUGCCCUUGGGAUGGUGCAAGCCGGAAGCCCGAUUGCCUACCAACAGCCAGCAGGAGCACAUAGAGAUCUAUCCUUCCAGCCUCAGAGCCGGGUUCCAGAGACUGAAAGACAGAGAGCUCACACUCAAUAGAAUGUGAGUUCAACAAAGCUAAACUCAAAUUCUUUGGUUUCAUUUUCUCAGCUGGUGGAAUCUCAGCUGAACCUAAAAAAGUUGCCACCAUUCAGCAGGCCGGUGAUCUACAAGCCUCGACUGAAGUCAGGAAAUUGCUUGGCAUAGCGAACUGCUGUACUAAAGACACACUGUGCCGAACUACAGACACACCGUGCCACUGGAGCCCUGAGCACGAUAGAGCACUACAGACGAUCAAAGUCAGCCUGACUAGCAAACCCCUGGGGCUGGAUGCACAGAAAAAAAAUCUUAAAGUAAAUCCUAAGUAGAUUUCUAAGAAAAAUUGAAGUCCUUAAGAAUCGUCUUAAAUGCUCUUCACCAAUAUUUUCUUAGGAACUAUUGUAUUUCUUAGGCAGCAGCAGUCAGGGCCAUUGAUAAGGUGCUGUCCACUCUCUCUUGGGUCCAUAUGGUCCAGUUCUCAGACUCUUUUUUUUUUUUUUUUCUUCUUUUUUUUUACUUAAGCAUUUUAAUGGUAAAAACAAAAGGCAAGAAAAGAAUAAUCACAAGUAAAAUUAAAUAGACAACGACCGUGAUGGGUGAGC